ACCCGGGGCAACCCCCUCCGGCUCCGCGGCCUCGGCCAUGGCCGCAGAUCCCUGUCCUUGAUCGGGACUCCUUCCUUGACGCUGCUUAAGGGUCGGUGGCGCUGGGCAAGGGGCGUGCUACGGGGCCCUCUGUGCUCCUUGAAGGACGCCGGCUCCGGGAUCCUGCGGCAAAGGUUUAGCCGGGGCACUGGGGCCUUGCGCAGGACCCGCAGGGCAAACUCCGCUUGGCCCCAAGCCUCUGCGCCCCUUCUGCCCAGCUGAAACUCCCUGGACUCUUCCUCCACUGCUGGAGCUUCUCCCCGAUUGCGCGUCUGCUUCCCACCGGGACCCCAAUCUCGCCCGCGGGCCGCGGAGGUGCAGUGCACGGCUGGAGAGGGCUGCUUCGCUCCUGCGCCUUUGGAAGUGCCCGGCCCGCUGUCCGCUGUCCUGGGGUUGACCAGAAGUCCUUGGUGCCAACUCCAUCCCCUGGGGCUUGGGCGGGGUUUGUCUUCCCCUCCUCCCUCCUUUGUUUGGGUAGCCUAGGAGCUUGGCCAAUGACAGCCUUUCUCGUGACCCUUGUGGAUGUUGAUGAAAAGAUUCUGGUUCUCCUGGCCGCUUGGGUGUUGUUCUCUAGAAUGGCUUCAAGUUCCAGAGUCACUUAAAUCACCCCCUCCAAACACACACCCCGACACCCAAACACCUAAUCCCCACCUUACCCCAGGAGUGAAGCAUCAAGCUCCCCCGGUACCCAACUGAAGAUGUCCACAUUGUGCCUGAUGUCCAAGAGCAAGGGUGUAAAUCCCUGAGAGAAGAAGCUGGGGAGGCUACGCUGGCCGCCUUCCCAUGUCUGCAGGGCCCCCGGAGAGGUUCCAGAGGCCCCUCAUAUAGACGCACAAGGAGCCAGUCGAGUUUCUCUGACCAGAGAUGGGCGCUGUUGUCCAUGAGGGUCCGCUUCUCCGGGCCUGUCUGGAGGAUCGUGGGAGCCCUGCGCUGGAAAAAGGUUACACCUUCAUCUCCCGGGUCUCUUAAGACUGACAGGAGCCCAGAGACACUCAGCUUCAUGCUACCUUUCUCCAAGGCUG
rnacentral:lncRNA from 1 species